UUCUUCUUAAGCUUUAAGAAAUACUCGUUUAUGAUUCAUGCUCUGAUGUUGCCUUAAAUACUGGAUGGUGAAAGUGGAGUGGAUUCAUCAGAACAGGAGACUUGAGAUCAUUAAGAGCUCUUCACUGUCUAGAACAUGAAUAUCUGGUUACUCAUAAAAGGUUUCUCUUUCAUAUCUCUUUUCUAAUAUAAGUUUGAAUGAUAGUUGUACGUUGCAACUUGUUCACCUGCUCGAGAUGCUGGAGCCGGUUACGUGGCUUGGGGUCACUCAACCCUAAUUGGACCUUUUGGAGAAGUUCUGGCUACCACUGAACAUGAGGAGAACAUAAUCAUAGCAGAGAUUGAUUAUUCGAUACUUGAGCAACGAAGGGCAAGUCUCCCUUUAGCAAAACAACGGCGAGGUGAUCUUUACCAGUUGGUAGACAUCCAGAGACUCAACUCUCAUUGAUUACGGAAGAGAACCUUGUGAGAGAGCUAUGAUUCAUGGUGAGAAUUUUCAUCAAGAAAGGUGGAAUUCUAUUGAUAAUCAUGAGACUCUUCUAGUCCUUUGAAUGCAGUAUUUAGCGAGAUGCUAAUCAUUUGGAUGAUUACUGGAAACUCAUAUUUGGGAAUAAAUGGAAUUGUUACUGUUGUCA